GUUAGCAGAAGAAGGAUCAAAUCCUGGAAAAUGAAGUACAUCCAUUAGUUCAAGGGUGCAGCAGGCAAAAAGAACAUCUUUCUGCUAAGCCAAUCUUGAUCAUAAUUAAUUUAAGCAUCUGUUCAAUUAAAUUUGAUAAUCAACUAAAAAUUAAAUGACCAUCAGAGUAAUAGUCAAACGUGGAAUUUCAGCAGGUAGGAUGAAGGAGCAGAAGUGAAU
rnacentral:misc_RNA from 1 species